rnacentral:rRNA from 1 species
CCUACGGGAGGCAGCAGUGAGGAAUAUUGGUCAAUGGCCGGAAGGCUGAACCAGCCAUGCCGCGUGAAGGUCAGUGCCCUAUGGGCGUUAAACUUCUUUUGUGCGGGAGCAAUAAUGGUCACGUGUGGCCAGACGAGAGUACCGUACGAAUAAGCAUCGGCUAACUCCGUGCCAGCAGCCGCGGUAAUACGGGGGAUGCAAGCGGUAUCCGGAUUUAUUGGGGUUAAAGGGUGCGUAGGCUGUGAGGUAAGUCAGCGGUGAAAUGCCCCCGGUCAACGGGGUGAAGUGCCUUUGAUACUGCCUUGCUGGAGUGCGGAGGAGGAGGGAGGAAUGUGUGGUGUAGCGGUGAAAUGCGUAGAUAUCACGAAGAACACCGAUUGCGAAGGCAUCUCACGAAUCCGCGAUUGACGCUGAUGCACGAAAGCGUGGGUAUCAAACAGGAUUAGAUACCCGUGUAGUC